rnacentral:rRNA from 1 species
UACGUAGGGUGCAAGCGUUAAUCGGAAUUACUGGGCGUAAAGCGUGCGCAGGCGGUUGUGCAAGACCGAUGUGAAAUCCCCGGGCUUAACCUGGGAAUGGCAUUGGUGACUGCACGGCUAGAGUGUGUCAGAGGGGGGUAGAAUUCCACGUGUAGCAGUGAAAUGCGUAGAGAUGUGGAGGAAUACCGAUGGCGAAGGCAGCCCCCUGGGAUAACACUGACGCUCAUGCACGAAAGCGUGGGGAGCAAACAG